rnacentral:rRNA from 12 species
UGUUGCUGCACUGCAGUUGUGGCUGCACCAGAGUGCGAGUGCCCUGUGCCCAAGUGUCCACUCUUGGAAGCCAAGCAAAGCCGUGCCUGGUUAGUAUUGGAUGGGAGACCAACUUGAAAGACCAGGGGAUGCUAUGC